rfam:Pediococcus pentosaceus ATCC 25745, complete genome.
AGGCAAGGUUGGACUUACGAAUUGUGUCAGGUCCGGAAGGAAGCAGCACUAAGUAUGCU